rnacentral:misc_RNA from 1 species
GCCAAAGCAAGCCUCAGAAACAACAAAAAAUUGUUACAUUCAUCUCUCUAAUUCUCCCACAUUCACUUUUAGAUUUUCCUCUGUUUCAAAAACUAUAGCUUGAACUAUAUUAUACAAAUGUCUGGACAUCUUGGCCUCCUAGGACCUGAAAAUUUAUCAAUCCUUUUCAACUUAUUACAUCCAACACCUAGGCAAAACAAAUAUCUCACACUCUUAUCUACAUUUAAA